rnacentral:rRNA from 1 species
AGUGAACGCUGGCGGUAGGCCUAACACAUGCAAGUCGAACGGCAGCACAGUAAGAGCUUGCUCUUACGGGUGGCGAGUGGCGGACGGGUGAGGAAUACAUCGGAAUCUACUUUUUCGUGGGGGAUAACGUAGGGAAACUUACGCUAAUACCGCAUACGACCUACGGGUGAAAGGAGGGGAUCUUCGGACCUUGCGCGAUUGAAUGAGCCGAUGUCGGAUUAGCUAGUUGGCGGGGUAAAGGCCCACCAAGGCGACGAUCCGUAGCUGGUCUGAGAGGAUGAUCGGCCACACUGGAACUGAGACACGGUCCAGACUCCUACGGGAGGCAGCAGUGGGGAAUGUUGGACAAUGGGCGCAAGCCUGGUCCAGCCAUACCGCGUGUGUGAAGAAGGCCUUCGGGUUGUAAAGCCCUUUUGUUGGGAAAGAAAAGCAGCAGGUUAAUACCCCGCUGUUCUGACGGUACCCAAAGAAUAAGCACCGGCUAACUUCGUG